ACAGCCAAUUGCCUGAUUGCAGAGUCUAAGGUCUCAAAAUUAAAUCUCAAACAGGAGACUGAAAAGCAAGCAGUCAAUUUGCAAAGACUUAAAUAUAAUAUUGCGGUGGGGAUGGGGCAUGUUGAGACUCAGAAAACAACACCCCAAACUGAAGGCCUCAGAAAGCAGCCUCAAAAGCAAAAGUUUUUCUCUGACCUUCUCCUGCCCUCCUGUCUCUCUAUCCCAUUCUGUCCCCAGGCCAGCCAUAGAAACUAGAAUCCCUCUUCCCCAAGGCGGGUCAGAGAAACAGAACCCCUUUUCUCCAAACCAUAAAACCUAAAAAUAAUUUUCCUUCCACCUUGCUGUGUAAAAACUGUCCAUAAAGAAAUUACCUGACUACCUUGUUUGACUAUAGCUCAUAAGAGCCCCCAUUCCAGAGAGGGUCCUGCCCCAUACCCAGAAGGAAGGAGUGCAGGCUCAGAGAGGCUGAGAAAAAUCUAGACAAACAAGGCUCGCUGGGUUUCCCCACUCAGUCUGGUAGCAUUUGAUCACAGUCUUUUUUGUCCAAUCAUAUUUCUGCCUGGCUGUCCAUACUUUCUUGGACCUAAGCACAAAAAUGAACAAUUUUCCCUGUAUCUUUGGGUCGUCUUUCUGAAGUCUCCUGUGUACACAUGUUAAAUAAAUUCGUGUGCCUUCUCUCCAAUUAAUCUGCCCCUUGUCAGAGAUUUUCAGCAAACCUCCUAAGGAUGAUGGGGAUGUUUUCCCUUGGCCCCUACAGGCAUAUAUUCUUUUUUUUUUUUUUUUAAUCUGUGUGUGUGGGGAGGUCCUUUUGAAAAUUCAAAUGAAAAAGAUGAGUCCCCUUACACUUCCAAAUUUGCAGUGGAAUUUAAAUUUAUUUAUUUAUUUUUUUGAGACAGGGUCUCACUCUGU
rnacentral:lncRNA from 10 species